UCUCACAUUCACUCUAACCCAAUUUUGGUUUACAUUUCAAGCUGGGUUUUCUGGCCAGAGAUUCUAUGACGAUUGGUUUCAGUCAUCAUAUAAUGUCAUCUUCACAGCACUGCCUGUGAUCAUUGUUGGACUAUUUGACAAGGAUGUCAGCGCUUCUCUGUCCAAGAAGUAUCCUGAACUAUACAUGGAGGGAACAAGAAAUGAGUUUUUAAGUGGAGAGUUGUGGCUAUAUGGCCUUUUUUCUCUGUUCAUAUCUUGUCUAUGCAUGCUAUUUGUGGGAGGUAUCAUUCCUCCAUUGGGGAUGCAUGACUAGUUUACAUAAGGAUGCAUCACUUUGGCAUGAAACAUUACAUACAUUGAUUGUCACAAAAAAGAGUCCUUUAAUCAAAAUAUCGAUGUUAUUACCAAUUUCCACUUUCAAGAACUAUAUACAUUUUACUA